CUCUUACACUGUUGGUGGGAAUGCAAACUAGUAUAGCCACUAUGGAGAACAAUAUGGAGAUUCCUUUAAAAACUAGGAAUAAAACUACCAUAUGACCCAGCAAUCCCACAACUGGGCAUUUACCCUGAGGAAGCCAUAAUUG